GGCUCCUGAGGGGGUGCGAAAUGGCGGCUGCGAAUUCGCUUUUAGCGGACGGAGCCGCGGCUCCUCAGCCCCCUGCCCUGCAAACUGCGCUGUCUGGUUGGGAAGAAAUAAAGCCUUCAAGGCGGUUUUUGCUGCGCCCUGAGGCAGUGGGAGUCUCAAAGGGAGGAGCGCCCCAUACAGAUCAGCUAUGCUGGCAGCAUCUGAUUGAGGCACACGCCAACAUGGAGACAUUGUGUUAAGGGGUUGGAAUGCACCUUUUCCAAUCCGCUGCCUUGCGCUUCCCACUAGACCAGCUGCUGGUGAAGAGUCCCUCCCCAGCUUCCCUGUGGCCUCCUUCAGACAGCGGGAUGUGCUGUGAGGUCUCUGCAGAGCCAGAUCGUGUUGGUAUGUGCCAUCAUGGUGCUUCCCUUCACAGGCUUCCCACCCUGCUUGGGGGCAAUGGGAAUGCUGCUUUCUCCUUGCUUUUGUCAGCCAGGUAUCCCUGUGGUCCAAAUAAACAGCCAUCAAAAGUAUAAUUAAAACCAGCAGCCUGAAUUCGCUUGCUGUCACCCAGCCUCUUACUCCUGCCUUGCCCCUUGCACUGAUGCAGCUAACUGGAAAAACAAACUAAACCAGAGUGAAAAAAAAAAAAAAAAGCAAGCAGUGUCUUCCUGACUGGAUCAGCAAACUGAACCAGCUCGGCUGAGGGACAGAGCAGAUCCCUCGUGGGCUCCCCAGGACUGGGCAGAGCAGCCAGUCUUCUAAACCCACAAAAAAGCAACCCUCUUCUAAACCCACAGUCAAGGCCUGCUCCAGCUGCAAGAAGGGCCCUUGAUAAUGCUUCCCACAGCCUGGGGAGCUGGGCAUCCCUGUGGCCUCAGCAUAACACAAACUUAUCCCAUCUAAACAGCUUGGCCUCUGCCAGCUUACCCUGUCCUCUCUGGGACCUUCCAGGUACUGCGCUUCAUCUGAGGGCACACAUGGUUUUGCCUUAUUAGGUCCUUACCUACAUGUUCAUUUUUCAAGGACCAGACUUGUUGAUAACGUUCAAGGUUUACUUGCAGCAUAAAGGCUAGGAGGAAGUGGAUCUGUUACAUUUCACUUUGCCAGCAUAACACACUUUUCUCCUUUCCUUAUAAGACCUUUUUAAAAGCCCAGCUAAGAAGCCCCAGUUCCUGUGAUUCUCUUCACAAACCACGUCAGAACUUGAUGCUUCCACAGGGCGUUUGCCCCUCCACAAGUGAGCACAGCUUCAUUUGGAGCCUCUGGAGCCUCUGCUAUCACCUCAUCAGGAGCCAGGUUCUUAGGUAAUUCCCAACCUGGAGCCAGGAGCACCCAGACUGAAUCAGCAAGGCAGAAAGCCACCCCCAAUUUUGGCCAGACUAAACAAGCGACCUUUACUCUGGCUCUAAAGCCGCCUUGCCUAGGCAGGGCUCAGUGCGCUGCCCUUAUCUCAUGAAUGCACAUAAAGUGUUGACGAGGCACCUCAACUUUCCAACCAGCAGCCAGCUACUAACCUGGGAAAACACACACCAAAAAAAAAGAGCUUUGUGAAGAAUAUUUAAAAGGAGGUUAAGUAAGACUGUCUGGAACAGGAGAGCUAUUUCAGCAGGCAGGGUGUUUUUCUUCUGGAAGCUGAAGGAUUGGGGGGGGAGGAAGGAGUAGCUUGGAGCUAGCAGGUUCUUCCUCCCCCAAUCUGUUAGCAUUUCAGGCUAGCCCAAGUUUUCCUGGAGCUUUGCCAAUUCCCAUUGAUUUCGGACCUUUUUUUCUCUCUCCCAAGCACGUAGCAUAUAAUAUUUGGCAUUAACAAAUUGUCUCCAUGACUUAGCUUUCCUGGUUUUGCCAUACUAGUUUCCUCGCUUAAAAAUUGAAUUAAACAAAAUAAAGCAGCAUCAAGAGUUCAAGCACCAGCUCUCUGCUGUGAAUGUUUGGAAGAGUGGGAAACUCCAAAGGAUGUCUCAUUCUCUUGGGACCAGGUCCAGGUCACCACCUUCUGCUUUUGCUGAGCUUCUGCUGAGAUUUGAGGGUUUUUCUGCAGACAAACCUCCCAGAUAAGGAACCAGAUGAGGCUUCUCAGGAAGGAUCGUGGCUUGUCUGUAGCAGCUGAUAUACAGCUGAGUCACUUGGCUGCGGCUGAGGGAGAAGGGAGCUUUCCCCAGCCUAAACUUGUUUUUUAGCCCCAUUUUCUGGGAGGUGCGUGCUCCGUUUGGAGAAAGUGAGUAGGAAGAGCUCGGAAAGCUGCAGCCAAGUGAAGGACUUUUCUUCACACAUGACUCACUUUCCAGCUGCCUCCCCUACCAACCAGUUGGACUGGGCCAGCACCAAAGCCCGGCUGCUUUUGAUGCUCAGUUUUGUCGUGCCUACAGCACACAAAUUCCUUCCACAUCACCUCGCCCUCCUGGAGCCCAAUUCUGUGCUUUGCAUAAGUGGGGCACGUGAGGAAUCCCUGUUUGGCAAUCCCUGGAGGCCAGCCAGAGGCCCCUGCAGGCUCUGCUUUUGCAGCUGCAGCCAGCUCUGCAGGAGAAAUGUUCUCUUUGCAAAA